AACGAACGCUGGCGGCGUGCUUAAGACAUGCAAGUCGUGCGAGAAAGGAACCUUCGGGUUCCAAGUACAGCGGCGCACGGGUGAGUAACGCGUGGGUAAUCUGCCUUCGGGUCUGGGAUAACCUCGGGAAACUGGGGCUAAUACCGGAUAAGACCACAGGGUCCUCGGGCCCAGCGGAAAAAGGUGGCCUCUCCUUGGAAGCUACCUCCCGGAGAUGAGCCCGCGUCCCAUUAGCUUGUUGGUGAGGUAAGAGCUCACCAAGGCGACGAUGGGUAGCUGGUCUGAGAGGAUGAUCAGCCACACUGGAACUGAGACACGGUCCAGACUCCUACGGGAGGCAGCAGUCGGGAAUUUUGGGCAAUGGGCGAAAGCCUGACCCAGCAACGCCGCGUGAGGGAUGAAGACCUUCGGGUCGUAAACCUCUGUCAGGAGGGAAGAACUGUCUCGAGUCGAAUAGGCUCGGGAUCUGACGGUACCUCCAAAGGAAGCGCCGGCUAACUCCGUG
rnacentral:rRNA from 1 species